AGGGCGGACGGGGGAUCCCUUGGCAGUCGGAGGCGAUGAAGGGCGCGGCCAGCUGCGAAAAGCCUCGGGGAGCCGCUGAGCGGGCUAUGAUCCGGGGAUACCCGAAUGGGGAAACCCCCUGGGCUGUGGAGGCCCAGGAUCCAGGGCCGAAAUUCCAAGUAAGCUCUGGAGGCGAACCCCGCGAAGUGAAACAUCUCAGUAGCGGGAGGAGGAGAAAUCAACCGAGAUUCCCCCAGUAGCGGCGAGCGAACGGGGAACAGCCCAAACCACCAGGUUGCAAGGCCCCAGCCGUUUUCCUGGUGGGGUUGGGGGAUGGUGACGGGGGUUUCUGGGGAAGCCCCGGGGAGUUACCAAGGUCUUCUUUAGCCGAACAGCCAGCAAAGCCACUGGAAAGGGCGACCGGAGAAGGUGACAGUCCUGUAGGCGAAAGGGAAGGCCCUCCUCGGUGACCAUCCCGAGUAACGUCGGACACGGGAAAUCCGGCGUGAAGCUGGGGGGACCACCCUCCAAGGCUAAAUACUCCCGACUGACCGAUAGUGCACCAGUACCGCGAGGGAAAGGUGAAAAGGACCCCGGGAGGGGAGUGAAAUAGAACGUGAAACCGUCCGCCUACAGUGCAGUGGGAGCCGGGAACCCAGCCCGCAAGGGCCAGGAACCUGGUGACCGCGUGCCUUUUGCAGUAUGAGCCGGCGAGUUGUGGUCCGUGGCGAGGUUAAGGCCUUCUGGGCCGAAGCCGCAGCGAAAGCGAGUCCGAACAGGGCGCCCAGUCACGGGUCACAGACCCGAAACCAGGUGAUCUACCCAUGGGCAGGGUGAAGUGCGCUUAACCGCGCACGGAGGCCCGAACUGGUUGGUCGUGCAACGCCAUCGGAUGACCUGUGGGUAGGGGUGAAAGGCCAAUCGCACCUGGUGAUAUCUGGCUCUCCCCGAAAUGGCUUUAGGGUCAGCCUCACGCCAGAGGCGGCCGGGGGUAGAGUGCUGGCUGGGGAAGGGGGGCAACUCCCAACCCCAUUCAAACUCCGAAUACCGGUGCGCCGUUCCGUGGGAGUGAGUCUACGAGGGAUAACCUUCGUGGACGAGGGCGAAACAACGCAGACCACCAGCUAAGGCCCCCAAAUCCAGGCUCAGUGGGGAAGGCGGUGUGGUUGCUCAAACAGCUGGGAGGUUGGCUUAGAAGCAGCCAUCCUUUAAAGAGUGCGUAAUAGCUCACCAGUCUAGUGAUCGCGCGCCGAAGAUGUACCGGGGCUAAGCCUGGUGCCGAAGCUGUGGGUGGGCUCUCUUCGGAGAGUCCGCGGUAGGGGAGCAUUCCGCCCUAGGUGGAAGCCGGGUCGCGAGGCCCGGUGGACGAAGCGGAAGAGAGAAUGCCGGCUUGAGUAGCGUAAGACGGGUGAGAAUCCCGUCCACCGAAUGCCUAAGGUUUCCUGGGGAAGGCUCAUCCCCCCAGGGUUAGGCGGGCCUAAGCCGAAGCCGAAAGGCGUAGGCGAUGGACAGCCGGUCAAUAUUCCGGCCCCUCCGGAUUGGCGUUACGAGCGAAGGGGGGACGCCGCAGGAUUUCCUCCGCAGGCUCACGGUUAUGCCUGUCCAAGCGUCAAGUCAGAGGGGGUAGGCAAAUCCGCCCCCUCGAAACCGCCCUUGGUCGCCUUCGGGCGGCUGGGGGCGAACAGGCGAGGCGCGAUGGCGAGCCCCGCAAGGGGCGAAGGGAGAGCGAUUCAGCGGCCGAGAAAAGCCUCUAGCCAGCCAAUUCGGAGCCCGUACCGCAAACCGACACUGGUAGGCGAGGAGAGUAUCCACAGGUGAGCGAGCCAACCCUCGUCAAGGAACUCGGCAAAAUGGCCCCGUAACUUCGGGAUAAGGGGCGCCUUCCCUCAAGGAAGGCCGCAGGAAUCGGCUCAGGCGACUGUUUACCAAAAACACAGGUCCCUGCCAACCCGAAAGGGGAUGUAUAGGGGCUGAAACCUGGCCACUGCCGGUAGGUCAAGGGGAGGGGUGCAAGCCCUAAACUGAAGCCCCGGUGAAGGCCGGCCGUAACUAUAACGGUCCUAAGGUAGCGAAGUUCCUUGUCGGGUAAGUUCCGACGCGCAUGAAAGGAACAACGACUUGAGCGCUGUCUUGACGAGGGGCUCGGUGAACUCGAAGCACGGGUGAAGAUUCCCGUGACCUGCGGUGGGACAGAAAGACCCCGUGGAGCUUUACUGCAGCUUGGCGUUGAGUUUCGGCAUCCGCUGUAGAGGAUAGGUGGGAGGCUGUGAAGCCUGGGCGCUAGCUCGGGUGGAGCCAACCUUGGAAUACCACCCUGCGGCUGUUGAGGCUCUAACCAGGGGCCGUGAAGAGCGGCUUCGGGACCGCGCUAGGUGGGCAGUUUUGCUGGGGCGGCAGCCUCCUAAAGGAUAACGGAGGCGCACAAAGGUCCCCUCAGGCGGGUUAGCGAUCCGCCGUGGAGUGCAAGGGCAGAAGGGGGCUUGACUGCGAGGCCCACAAGCCGAGCAGAGGCGAAAGCCGGUCCUAGUGACCCACCGGUUCCUCGUGGGAGGGCCGGUGAUCAUCGGACAAAAGUUACCCCGGGGAUAACAGGCUAGUACCGCCCGAGAGUUCACAUCGACGGCGGUGUUCGGCACCUCGAUGUCGGCUCACCCCAUCCUGGGGCUGAAUCAGGUCCCAAGGGUCGGUCUGUUCGCCCGUUAAAGGGGUUCAUGAGCUGGGUUCAAACCGUCGUGAGACAGGUUGGUCCCUAUCUACCGCAGGCGUAGGAGGCUUGAGGGGGUCCGCUCUCAGUACGAGAGGACCGGAGCGGCUGGGCCGCUGGCGUACCAGUUGUCCCACCCGGGGCAUCGCUGGGUAACUAAGCCCAGACCAGAUAAGAGCUGAAGGCAUCUAAGCUCGAAGCUGACCCCAAGAUGAGGCCUCCCCAUCAGGGCCCUCCGAGACCAGGAGGUUGAUAGGCCGCAGGUGGAAGCCCGGUAACGGGUGGAGCCAAGCGGUACUAAUCGCCCGAUUGGCUUGCGU
rnacentral:rRNA from 1 species